AGAGUAUUCCCUCCGUCCCAAAAUUCUUGUCUUAAAUUUGUCUAAAUACGGAUGUAUCAAUUCAUGUUUUAGUAUUAGGUACAUCCGUAUCUAGACAAAUGUAAGGCACGAAUUUCGGGACGGAGGGAGUAUGUU
rfam:Triticum aestivum genome assembly, contig: Triticum_aestivum_CS42_TGACv1_scaffold_221149_3B